rnacentral:rRNA from 1 species
CCUACGGGUGGCUGCAGUCGAGAAUCUUCGGCAAUGGGCGAAAGCCUGACCGAGCGACGCCGCGUGGAGGACGAAGGCCUUUGGGUUGUAAACUCCUGUCGAGGGGGAUGAAGGGGCCGCGAAGAGCGGUCCUUGACCGAUCCCUGGAGGAAGCGCGGGCUAAGUUCGUGCCAGCAGCCGCGGUAAGACGAACCGCGCGAACGUUAUUCGGAUUCACUGGGCUUAAAGCGAGUGCGGGCGGUCCCGCGCGUCGGCCGUUGAAAUCCCCCGGCUCA